GCCAGGCAUGGUGGUGCAUGCCUGUAAUCCCAGCUACUCGGGAGGCUGAGGCAAGAGAAUCACUUGAAUCCAGGAGGCAGAGGUUACAGUGAGCUGAGAUCAUGCCACUGCACUCCAGCCUGGGUGACAGAGUGAGACUCUGUCUCAA
rnacentral:SRP_RNA from 1 species